rnacentral:lncRNA from 1 species
GCCGCACGAUGGAAGAGAGGUUGAAAGAACACAAGAGACGUAAUGAAAGGUAAAGUAACCACAGCAUUAGUAGAGGAAUGUUAUGCAGGAAACAUGGAAGUGCAUUGGAAUAGGGCUAAGAUGAUAAAACGCACAGACAACAUACACCAAGCACAGGUAUGGGAAUCACUAGAGAUAGAGGUUAUGAGAGGAUAUGAAAACGUCUUCAACAGAAAGGACUCAAAAGAAUUACUGAUGCCAUAUAUAUUAUAUGCUAUAUGCUAUGAAGAAAGCUAACAGAUAACAUCGGACCCUUACAAGUUAGUGGAAACAAUGCAUAAAAAAAAGGCCCUUCUCAUUACAGAACAAUUUGUUAAGAUUAACAUAUAUUGAUUGCAACACACAAAAAAUAAUAUAGCAUACUACAGUACAUAGGCAAGUACAUAGGCAUGACAAGCCACAUGAUGG